GCCUGGCUGGCUCAGUCAGUAGAGCAUGCGACUCUUGAUCUCGGGGUCGUGGGUUUGGGCCCCAUGUUGGGUG
rnacentral:tRNA from 1 species